rnacentral:hammerhead_ribozyme from 17 species
CAAGCGUCUGGGGUAAGGAGUCGCUGCCACCAGCCCCACUGAUGAGUCUAGGCAGUGACUCCGAGACGAAACGCAAU